UGCAGCAUGAAAGCUCUCUGCCCACUCAAACCCAGUGGUAGGGAGGUAUUUCACUGCACUGUUAGCUUGGCUGCAUCCAUGCGUGUGUUUGUUUAGCGUGUGCGUGUGUACGUGUGUAUCGUCCACAAAACUGAAGCAAGCUUAGAGUACUCCGUCAAAUGACAAGCAAGCCUGGAUAAAUGCUUCUUCAGCAUCUCUCUCCUACAUGCAGCAAAGUGGGACAUCAAUGGUGUUCUACUGCUGACUGAUAGAUGGAAGAGUAGCUCCACACAGACACACCUGAAGGUGAAGAUGAAGAGCAUCAGAAGCAUGCAGAAGGUGGCCACAUUAUCCAUCGUCUUCAUCAGGACUACAAGUUGUCUCCUCAAUGCAGGAAGGAAGCGAACCAACUUCAGAACCCGAAGCAGACGGAAAGCCGAAAGCCAGCAGCAUGAAGCCCAUCUCCAACACAAACAUGCUCGUGAAGACGAUGUUGCUGAUCUCCAACACAUCCGUCAACUCCUCUGGCUGCAUGAAUAAGAGAAUAAAA